GCUGGAAUCGCUAGUAAUCGCGAAUCAGAAUGUCGCGGUGGAUACGUUCCCGGGUCUUGUACACACCGCCCGUCACACCAUGGGAGUCGGAAAUGCCCGAAGUCAGUGACCCAACCGUAAGGAGGGAGCUGCCGAAGGUGGAGCCGGUAACUGGGGUGAAGUCGUAACAAGGUAAC
rnacentral:rRNA from 1 species